rnacentral:rRNA from 1 species
AUACGAAGGGUGCAAGCGUUACUCGGAAUUACUGGGCGUAAAGCGUGCGUAGGUGGUUGUUUAAGUCUGCUGUGAAAGCCCUGGGCUCAACCUGGGAAUUGCAGUGGAUACUGGGCGACUAGAGUGUGGUAGAGGAUAGUGGAAUUUCCGGUGUAGCAGUGAAAUGCGUAGAGAUCGGAAGGAACAUCUGUGGCGAAGGCGACUAUCUGGGCCAACACUGACACUGAGGCACGAAAGCGUGGGGAGCAAACAG